GACCUCCCAAUUCUUACGACAGGCUGUGUUCUUUACACUGACUGUGUAAAAAAGAGGAGGUACAGUAAAUGCACCCUCAUAUACACCUCAAUACAGGCCCUUUGCCUGUCUGUAUUGUGAAUUGGGAGACAAAA